GGCAGCUUCCUCAGAGCACCCACCACAGAGCUGAAAUCCCCAGGUCAUUCCAAUGGUGAGAAAUGGGAAACAGGCACCGUCAGAGAAAAACAUAGUCCAGGACCCUACUGCAAGUGCUCAUCCCUCUAGAAGUUUCUCUUCACUGAGUAUGGAAGAUACCUUGGAAGAUGAGGUUAUAGUUGGCAGCUCAGAAAGCCAGGUAGCUGAACUCAUACUGGUGGUGUCAUUGACUGACCAUGAUUACAGGGGUUAUAUUGUGUUCUUCCUUUCCCCUUCUUGCUGUGGUUUUGUGUUUGCUGCUAGUAAUCUCACUCACAAUUUCUGCAUUGCGGCCUGAGUUUUCAUUAUCAGAAACAGUUGCACUAAUACUAGCAAUUCCCAGGAGCCUGCAGCUUCACUUCGAUAACUACUUUUUCUAACUGAAUGCUUUGCAUUUCACCUGGGUGACUACCACAUGAGCGUAAUACCAUCCAAUAGGGUUUUCUGCUGGCAUAAAAGAUGUUUUCUUCAGUCUUAUAGCCUUUAGUCAUAGUAGGAUUUCCUCCUUCCUCUGGCCAGAAAGUUGUAUUAAUUUGCUGAGCUUUCCAGCGCUGAGCAGUGAAAUGGGCAACACCUUCAUAGCUGGAGGCAGGGGAAAACAUCAUCAGGUAUGUUGAAGUCACUCAGCUGUCUGAGGAAAUGGUCUGGCUCCUCUCCAGUCACCUGGACUAGCCCCCCCUGGGACAGCGUGGCAUGCGAACCAUGAGAAACCCAGCCUCUAAAAUCUUCAAGAGUCUUCCAGCAAAAUUUCUUCCCUGCUUUCUGGGGUUACUUUGUGGUAACACGGUGACUGGCUUUUCUUGAAGAGGCCUGAAAAGAAUUCAGUUGUCUUCACUCACCAUCAGACAGCUUUUCCUCCAUGUCAGAGGCGACCAGCUGCUGCCUCAUUUUUCUAGGUCCAACAUGCACACCCAAAGGGCCCCUGCAGCUACAGCCCUGCCAUGUGGAGCAAGCCCAGGAUUUUGUGUGUUAGCAUGGAGCUGUUGGUACACAAAUGAUGAAGUGGGAGGAUGUGUCUCCAUACCAUAUUUUGGAUAGUGCUAUAUGAAGGUGUCUGCUAGGAAUAUUAUUUCUGGCUCUGACCAUGGCUUCUUUGGACUCAGCUUGCUACGCUUUGUGCAAUUCACUUCAUUUUCUCUCCAGAGCAAGAGGAACUUACUGAUGUACAGACCCUCUUGACAUAAUCCCUUCCUUCAAAGGACCGAUUACAUUGUCACUUUCUGUUUCUCUCCUGACAACACCGUUCUUCAUGUUCCAGAUCGCUGCCCCAUCCCAGCUGUUAUGGAAGGCCUGUGACUUCUGCUGAUCUUGGUACCCAUUAUUAAUUGACCAUAAACUCAUGUUGAUUUUGGCAAAUUUUACUGACUGCUGUUCGACAAUGCUGCUUCUGAGAGGAUGUCCACAAAUCUUACCAAAAACUUCUAUGCAG